GCCGGGCAUGGUGGUGCUUGCCUGUAAUCCCAGCUACUUGGAGGCUGAGGCAGGAGAAUUGCUUGAACCCAGGAGGCGGAGGUUACAGUGAGCUGAGAUCACGCCACUGCACUCCAGCCUGGGCAACAGAGCGAGACUCUGUCUAAC
rnacentral:SRP_RNA from 1 species